rnacentral:rRNA from 1 species
UGGUGCGGUGGCGUGUCUUCCUAAUCGAGCUAACGAACGAGCUCCUCACCUACUAAAUAGUUGUGCGAACCUUCGGGUUUGUUGCGAACUUCUUAGAGGGACUACUGGUGCUCAGCCAGAGGAAGUUGAGGGCGAUAACA